rnacentral:lncRNA from 1 species
UCCUUCAUUGCACUCUUAUAAUUCACUUGUUCAUGGAAACCAUCAAUAACACUACCUUAUAACUAGACUAAUCCAAACUUUUUUUGGCUUUGAUUAAGUGACGUUGAAUGUUAAGAAAUGUUUAGGAUUUGCCACAUUUUACAAUAGAAAACAAAAAUAAGUUGCUGUCUAUCGCCCUCAUGUGGCCACUGUAUUUCUAAGCAUGUCACGAUCACACUGCAUCAUAGGAAUCUGCAUAAUUUCUGUAGAAUUCUUGUAUUUAAUUUAGUUCUUUUUGUCACUGUAAUUGCUGAUAUUUUAUUGCCAGUAAAGUAAUGCAAGAAAAUGAAAGAAAUUGUCAUAAUUUGAAAAUAAUCAGUUUUCUGUGAUUAAAAAUUGUUAAUAAAAUAAAAUACACCAAGACAGUGAGCUCUUUUCUUUAUGGUGUAUUUAAUCAUUCAUAAACCUUCACACACUGUAAAGGUGAACUGUAACCAUUCUUUCCCAAAACAGCAAAAAGCUCCAAUCAUGUCAGUCAGUCAAUCUCAGGGUUUCCACACAGUCAAUCAAAUGAACAUUCACAUAUGAGCAUGACCUUUACUCAUAUGUUAACAAAAUCCCACUGAGAGAGAUAAGAAAAAGAAGAAAAACAUUUUCAUGUGCUGAUCAAUGAAUUGAUAGGAUGGACAUUGAGAAUUAAUGAUGUUAAAGUAACAUUUCCCUAAGUAAAAAUAGAAUAACAAAAGUUUGAUAACUUCCUAGUAUAAGGCUUCGUCAGAUUGUCGGGGCAGCGCGAUCAGGCAGUAGACUGGACCGAUGUCAAUCCCAGGCUCCAGACCUUGAUUUCCAAAUGAAAUGCAAAAUUUACUUUCAUCUGAAAAAAGGACUGUGGACCGCUGAGCAACAGUCCAGUUCUUUUUCUCCUUACCCCAGGUGAGAUGCUUUUUAUGUUUUUUUUUUCUGGUUCAGGAGUGGCUUGGUUCUAGGAAUGUGACAGCUGUAGCCCAUUUCCUGAAGAUGU